AGAGUUUGAUCCUGGCUCAGAAUGAACGCUGGCGGCGUGCCUAAUGCAUGCAAGCCGAACGGCCUGAUUUAUCAGGCAGUGGCGGACGGGUGAGUAACGCGUAAGAACUUACCCUAAAGUGGGGGACAACCUCGAGAAAUCGGGGCUAAUACCGCAUACGCUCCGCAAGGAGGAAAGCUACGGCGCUUUAGGAUGGGCUUGCGUCCGAUUAGCUAGUUGGUGAGGUAAUGGCCCACCAAGGCUUAGAUCGGUAGCUGGUCUGAGAGGAUGAUCAGCCACACUGGAAUUGAGAUACGGUCCAGACUCCUACGGGAGGCAGCAGCAGGGAAUAUUGCGCAAUGGGUGAAAGCCUGACGCAGCAACGCCGCGUGGGGGAUGACGGCUUUCGAGUUGUAAACCCCUUUUCUUGGGGAAGAUAAUGACGGUACUCAAGGAAUAAGUCUCGGCUAACUACGUGCCAGCAGCCGCGGUAAGACGUAGGAGGCGAGCGUUAUCCGGAUUUACUGGGCGUAAAGGGCGUGUAGGUGGUUCUCCAAGUCUUUGGUGAAAUCUCCUGGCUUAACUGGGAGGCUGCCAGAGAAACUAGAGAACUUGAGGGCAGAAUAGGGGAGUGGAAUUCCCGGUGUAGUGGUGAUAUGCGUAGAGAUCGGGAGGAACACCAGUGGCGAAAGCGGCUCUCUGGUCUGUACCUGACACUGAGGCGCGAAAGCGUGGGGAGCAAACAGGAUUAGAUACCCUGGUAGUCCACGCUGUAAACGAUGGAUACUAGGUAUGGGGGGUAUCGACCCCCUCCGUGCCGAAGCUAACGCUUUAAGUAUCCCGCCUGGGGACUACGGCCGCAAGGCUAAAACUCAAAGGAAUUGACGG
rnacentral:rRNA from 1 species